AUCCCUUCGCAGUGGCAGUAUCAGAGCGCCUAUGAGGUCGUCCAGGCGCAGAUUAUUGCUAGUUGAAAACUUUAACCAAUUCCCGCCUUGACGCACCUGAAAUAUAGUCGGCAAUGGCACGUUUGAUGGUCUCAUGAGA